rnacentral:misc_RNA from 1 species
ACACAACACCAAGUGAUAAUAAAGUUCCUCCCGCCCUGUGUGUAAAUUCAAAUUGCUCGUAUUGCCAGCGGCAUGCAUACAGGCGAAUGCAGAGUUAUUUUAAAUGCAUCCAGUAUAACUCAUCAUAGAAAAUCACGAGUACCACGUAAGCUUUGGCGGUCUAUUUACCUUAACUAAUAAGGUUGUUUUUUCCUUGCCCCGGAAACAAUUUCAAAAGAGGAAAGUUUAAAAAAUACCUUUUACAGUUCUGUUUCCCAAUUUAUUCAAUUGAAUUUGACUAUACCGCUAUACCUUGAAGAAAAGACGCUGUUGGAGCUGUGAGAAUUUGCGGGAACGUGAGUAAGUGAAUGAGAUCACGACGUAAUUAGAGGUUUACUUUACCGUGCUUUCCGACCAAUUUAUUCUGGAUGUUCUGAGUUCUGGGAAGCCUAAAAUCACCGCGUGGAAGUGUUGACGAGAGUAAAUUGCUUUGCAAUUAGCUGACAAUGUCCGAAAACCUAGCUAUAUAUAAGAACCCGUUGCUUAGACAGUCGGUGCACACCGAGAAUUCCUUUGGUCGGAGAUACACGACAUGCAAUCCCAUCUUUUCAGGUAUCUAUUGGGCCCGAUUAUUUUGUCGGCUUUUCCGGACGCUUUAUUUCACCAGCCUCUUCAUCUGCCACGGCAGGGACAAUUUAUUCCGUUAUUGCCUUACGGUUCGCCACUUCAUGUCCUACUUAAUAACCAGCCACGUUACCACGAAUAUGCCGAAGACGAUACGAUUCAUUUAAGAACUUCAUAUUUGUUUAAUGACAAUCAGAAUGACCAACAACAGGAAGAAAUUGACGUCAGAAGUCGAAACAAAAACGGAAUGGCGAAUGAAUAUCCGGACGCUCAACUAAGAAUAAACAGCCUCCAACGUUUUCUAUUUGGCGGAAGUAAUACUAAUCCUUUCUGGAAGACAGCAACUUACACUUCGGUAGCAUCACUAAGCGUGACAAGUGUACAGAAUUGUAUUCCGUCCUGGUUAUUUGUUGGUGGCAGUUCUACUAAUCCCUGUCGUCGCAAGAAGCGUGAAUUCCCAUCAGAAGAUGCUUUGCAAUUCCCCAUCGAUCCUUCAGAACGUCAACGAUUAACCGUAACGGCACUUCCUUCUAUGGAUCUGUUAAUGCGAAACAAUGGUCAACCUCGAACUACCAUAGUAUCUUCUAAAGAUGAAGUAAUUCCGAAUGAAGAUGGGCAGGAGCGACAGGACUUGGAUAAGGAGAAUCGACUUUUCUACAAGUUUGUGGCAUCUACAACAGCUUUCUCUUAUAUAUUUUCAACCUUCUUUUUCACUCGAACGAUAAGGCCUGUAGCAAAUAAUUACCAAGUGUUGUGUAUGCCGGAUGGCUACGUUGUUUGCAGUUAGUUAGAGUGCGUUGCUUUAAGACGACACAUCCAUUUUGUUUCCUUGUUGUUGUUGAUGACCUCAAACUUAAUCAACCAUAGCAGUUUUUAUCCCAUUAAAAUGCUCUUUACUUGUUUGUUUACUAUAACAUGUGAAAUACGUAGUUCCAAUUACCAGUCGUUGUGUUUUAACCAAAGAAGUAAAUUAUUUCGGCUAGAUUCGAAAAAAUUCUGGAAGAAACAACAUUGAACAUUUUUAUAGCCACAAGGGUCCCCUCGUCCGCUUCCCCAGAACUAUUGUAUUAUAAUAAACAACCUGGCAACCGUGAACAACAUAUUUGCGCAAUUUUUUACAAUCAGGACAUUUUUAUCGUCCCUUGGGCACAACUCGAUAGAAAGCGUUUGGGGUAUUUUGAAUCUGAAACAUUGAAUGUCUAUUUUUUCUUUCAUCUAAUUUUGUUGACAGAUAUUUUAAUUGACAAAUCAAGUUUUCGAAGGAAUGGUAAAAAUUUGCGUGUUUCAAUAACCAUGACGUUAUAGUUUGUCCGUUGAUAAAUCUAAACUAGGGUCUCUCAUCAUCAGGAACGUCAGAUUUAUGGCAGCCGCAGGUUCCUAACAGAAAUGGAGGAAUUAACUAAAGAAAAUUGUCAUAUCAUUUAUUUUACUUAAUAACGAUGAAUUAAUCACAAUCCUGUACAUACCACAGGUUUGAAGAUUCCCGCCUUCACAGCCUCUCAAAUCGCACAAAUUUUCGCCUCUGAAAUGUGGCAAAGGUACGCCGUUCCAGUAAUAAGGAUCGUUAUUGGUCAUCCAUUCUGGAGUCGUGUUUCCGUUGUUUCUCAGCCAAACUAAAUUACGCCAGCUAUCCAUAUGCUUAUCCGGUGAUCCUAAAUCAAACGUUCCCUUUUGGUGACCGAAUCAAUUUGAUUUCAAUUUUCCUGCCACGGACAUUACCUGGAUUGCGGUAAUCUUCAAAGUAGCAACAAGUUCCCGAGCCGCCAUCAUCGUGAUAAGUUCCUUGACGCAACUUUCCGACGUACGAAAUAGGAUGUGUCGACUCGAACACUUCAUAGCGGCCUGGAUUACGAGUGUACCAGCCUUCGUGUUGAUAGAAAAUGACACGAUCCACUUGGCUGCCGUUCAAAACCUAAAUUGAAAUGGACCGGCUCCAAUUUCUGAGCAUGACACCCUUUCAAACUGGCGAUUUAAUCACCUUGACUACAUAACGUCCCCAGUUGACAUCGUCUCCAGGAUCUCCCGGUAACAUAGGGCAGUCAUCUUUGUAGCCGUAAAAGAACCAAUAAGAAAAGAUCAUGUUAUUGUUUUCACACUCGUCAGCUUCGUAAUAAGCCGGGAUACGCCCAUCCAAAAUGCUGAUAUAAUCCAUGUUGCAAACCUAGGAUUCAAACAAAUCCCAUAAAUGAUUGGCUGGAAAGGUUACCAGGAUGGAAUACAUUACUCUUCCAGUGAAUCCAUUUUGACGGAGGCGGAAAUAAUCCUCGGCGCUACUGGGAAGGCAUUGGCCGAGUGUAUCGCCGGAUUUAGAAUCAAAACGGAGCCGUGGAGCGUACUGAACGACUAAAUCGUGAAGUUCAUGCACUUCAUCCUUUACACAUUCUUAAAAAAAAAAAUCAAUAGGUUAUUCAAUUUUAAACAAAUUUAUGCGAUCUGUGAAACUACCUGAUGCCUUGAAAAAGACCAAGGCAACGGAAAAAAGCAGUGCCCACUUAAUGAACAUCUUUCAGAUUCCACAAACGAGUGCUGCGCAACACGAAAAGCUCAGCACCUUUUUAUUAAUUUCUGUAACGCUAUAAAAAACCCGGGAAACGGAUAACAUCUCAAAUUGAUUUAUAGCCAAGGAUUUAAUUAAGCGCGCUGUACUCUGACCCUUAACUAUUAAACGACUGAUAAGUCUAAGUAACGACACGAAAUGUUCAACGGUCGCGCGUGAUUCAAAGUGCGACUCCAAAAAUGUAAAACGAUCAAGGUCUUUUGCCAUUACGUCUGCUUUAUCUCGAAACUCGAUAGUCUAGACUUUUGUUUGUUUAUGUCACGAAUAACUUAUAAAACAAAAAAGUGAAAGUAAUCGUUAGACUGUUGUUUUUGUUUGUUCUUUUGACCCAGGAAACAUUUAUUGGAAAUAAUGAUUGAACGUGCGUCACUAUGCAGUGCGUCCGGGGAAAGAGGUAAUACAUCAAUUAAAAGCCUCCCACUCUCGAAAGUCAUAUCUCUUGUGUGUUAUUAGUAUUUGA